AUGACGUCCUGCGGUCUGUACGGCCUCGCAAGGGGUGGGGGAGACAACGGCUGGAAUCCAGCACCAGCUCCUCAUUACCGAGAAGGAGUUGUGAGAGCUGGCUCCGGCUGUGGAAGCUUGCGCAAAUUCAUGGGAUCCCGGAGAAAGACGUCACUAGAAAACCUAGGUUUCUGCAGGAAAUCAAAACCCAGGAUGGGAAUAGUUCAAGAUGACAGGUGGGGCUGCAAUAAAAGGCAAUACUAUAUGGCGAUCUGCCAUACAAUCGUUACCGGAUGUUUGGGGAACCAGAUGAUCUCUAGAAAUUUAUGCUCUAGCGCGACAUCUAUUGUAAUGAUACGUAACAAUGUCAACGAGAGGAUGGAGGUGAUAGAGAAUAACUCAUUGAGGGGGAAGGACAGGCAAAGAGGAAUGGUCACGGAGGACUUUUUAAAGGAGGAAACAUUUGAACUAGGCUUUGACAGCCUUCACCGACUAGACAAAGAGAAAAGAGUAUUUCCUGUAGAAGGACCAGCAUGGGCGACGUUUGGAGGCACAGAACCUGCCAGAUUGGGGGGAAGAGCAAAUAAUGUUGUGUAUCUGGAAUUGGAUAAGAAUUCCGAGAGGGAUUAUUAUAUUCUCCAAACUAAUCUUAGUUCCUUGAAGCUGUGGAGCAGCGUUGCUACUCCAAGUAUGAUCCACGGAGCUGGGCCCUUCUGUCACCAGUCAACUGCCAGGCAGGAACAGAAACUGAGAGUAAGCGUUUGGAAAACUUCAUGGGCCGAGUACCUGUGUAAGGAGAGUGUCACCAGCCCGGUUGGAACGCAGGGCUGCCGCAGACGCAUACGCGCACGUGAGUCCGCGACAGCCGAGGGGGCGGGGCAGGGAGUAGGCGGCUCCGAGAAGACGCCACGCCUCCGUCUCUAUCGGCCGCCGCGCCUGAAGAAGGCCGGGAUACUGUCACUUCCGCCGGGGUCGCUCUCUGCAUCCGGGUCAGCUGCUGCCCCUGCAGCAAUAGCUUGGGGACUGGGCCCCGGUCUCCACUGCGGUCCGAGGGGAGCGGGCUCCUCUCGGCGCUACCUCCUGCGCCCUGGCCGUCAGCCCCACGUCGCCGGCCUGGAGGGGCGAAGAAGACGAGGGAGCCAAGGCUUCCUCCGGGGACAUUGGCUCUCUGGAUUAUCAGGAGUUUGUGGCUGAUAUUGAAUCUAAGCUGAGGAUGGAAGGUGUGGAACUUAAAGAAGAAUGGCAAGAUGAAGAUUUUCCAAUACCUUUACCAGAGGAUGAUAGUAUGGAAGCAGAUAUACUGGCUGUAACUGGACCAGAGAGCCAGCCUGGCUCUCUAGAAGUUAAUGGAAAUAAAGUAAGAAAGAAACUCAUGGCUCCAGACAUUAGCCUGACCCUGGAUCCUAGCGAUGGCUCUGUGCUGUCAGAUGAUUUGGAUGAAAGUGGGGAGAUUGACUUAGAUGGCUUAGACACGCCAUCAGAAAACAGUAAUGAAUUUGAGUGGGAAGAUGAUCUUCCAAAACCCAAAACUACUGAAAUUAUUAGGAAAGGCUCAAUUACUGAAUACACAGCAGCAGAGGAGAAAGAAGAUGGACGACGCUGGCGUAUGUUCAGAAUUGGAGAACAGGACCACAGGGUCGAUAUGAAGGCAAUUGAACCCUAUAAAAAAGUUAUCAGCCAUGGAGGAUAUUAUGGGGAUGGAUUAAAUGCCAUUGUUGUGUUUGCUGUCUGUUUUAUGCCUGAAAGUGGUCAACCUAACUAUAGAUACCUGAUGGACAAUCUCUUUAAGUAUGUUAUUGGCACUUUGGAGCUGUUAGUAGCAGAAAACUACAUGAUAGUUUAUUUAAAUGGUGCUACAACUCGAAGAAAAAUGCCCAGUCUGGGAUGGCUCAGGAAAUGCUACCAGCAAAUUGAUAGAAGGUUACGGAAAAACCUAAAAUCAUUAAUCAUUGUACAUCCCUCAUGGUUUAUCAGAACACUUCUAGCUGUCACAAGACCCUUUAUUAGCUCAAAAUUCAGCCAAAAAAUUAGAUACGUCUUUAAUUUGGCAGAACUAGCGGAACUUGUCCCCAUGGAAUAUGUUGGCAUACCAGAAUGCAUAAAACAAGUUGAUCAAGAGCUUAAUGGAAAACAAGAUGAACCGAAAAGUGAACAGUAAGUUUGGCAUCUAGUCCAAACAAGACUGAAGAAUGUGCUGAUGAAGCAGUGCUCUUUUUUGCAUUUAUAAUGCAUUUAUUGGCCCUGAUUUUUAUGUAACCUGUUACAAAAUUGACUUGACUCUUCCUUAAUGGACUUUUGUAUAAGGGACUGUUCACUGCUGUAUUGGUUUGCAAAUCUCUUGAAUUUAGCUCUUUAUUAGCUAAUUAUAUUGUAAUCAUUUUAUAUUUUAUAUUGCUAAAUAGCAGAGAACCACACUUUAUAUAAAGCAGUUUUUGCAUUUGUUUGUUGAAUGAUGCAUCAUCUUCAGUAAACUAUUUAUAUGCCUAAAUGGUAAAGGAAAGAGAUAAUAUAUAUUUUU